GAUGAACGCUGGCGGCGUGCCUAAUACAUGCAAGUCGAACGAGGUGCUUUUGUAGCAAUACGAGAGUAUCCUAGUGGCGAACGGGUGAGUAACGCGUUGGUGACCUACCCCAAAGUGUGGGAUAACAGUCCGAAAGGAUUGCUAAUACCGCAUGUGGUUAUCGGGUUUAGAAACUGAUAACUAAAGGAGCAAUUCGCUUUGGGAGGGACCUGCGUCCCAUCAGCUAGUUGGUGAGGUAACGGCUCACCAAGGCUACGACGGGUAGGGGACCUGAGAGGGUGACCCCCCACAAUGGAACUGAAACACGGUCCAUACACCUACGGGUGGCAGCAGUAGGGAAUAUUGCACAAUGGGCGAAAGCCUGAUGCAGCAACGCCGCGUGUGCGAUGAAGGCCUUCGGGUCGUAAAGCACUUUUCUGAGAGAUGAGAAAGGACAGUAUCUCAGGAAUAAGUCUCGGCUAACUACGUGC
rnacentral:rRNA from 1 species